CCUACGGGAGGCUGCAGUAGGGAAUCUUCCACAAUGGGCGAAAGCCUGAUGGAGCAACGCCGCGUGGGUGAAGAAGGUCUUCGGAUCGUAAAACCCUGUUGUUAGAGAAGAAAGUGCGUGAGAGUAACUGUUCACGUUUCGACGGUAUCUAACCAGAAAGCCACGGCUAACUCCGUGCCAGCAGCCGCGGUAAUACGUAGGUGGCAAGCGUUAUCCGGAUUUAUUGGGCGUAAAGGGAACGCAGGCGGUCUUUUAGGUCUGAUGUGAAAGCCUUCGGCUUAACCGGGGUAGUGCAUUGGAAACUGGGAGACUUGAGUGCAGAAGAGGAGAGUGGAAAUCCAGGUGUAGCGGUGAAAUGCAUAGAGAUCGCGCAGAACUCAGAUUGCGAAGGCAGCGUACCGGCGCCGGACUGACGCUGAGGCACGAAAGCGUGGGUAUCGAACAGGAUUAGAUACCCCGGUAGUC
rnacentral:rRNA from 1 species